rnacentral:lncRNA from 1 species
UUUUUUUUUUUUUUAAAGCUUAAAAAAUAAAUUUAUUUGCAAAAUUUGAAUCAAUGAGAAUUCGAAUUUGAAAUCUUAAGUAUCAAUCAUUAACCAUUUUGCCACUUGUAUAGGGAUAAUUGGAGCUGUGUACAAUUGUUAGCUGAAACAGAACUCGGUUGGAUCUUAGAAGCUCCCAUUUGUAUAAAAUACUGUAUACGUAGUAUCAAGGCCUUGGGUACUGAUCGUCUAUAGCGCAAGUAACAAAGAGCUUGCUUGUUAGUACCUAAGGUUCUAAUUUUCAAACUUAGUUGCUUUAUAUUUUUAGCUAAAUUUAUUUUUUAAAAAAAAAUUAAAUAAAGCGAAUAGCAUACUAUUUUUCACUCAAACGAAAAAAAAAAAAAAAAUAAC